rnacentral:lncRNA from 1 species
AAACAUCACCUUUGGGAUGAAGAGGAACCAUUGAUUCGGACUGAUUUGGGGGGCAAUUUCUGCGAAUUCCAGGAGUGCUUUUUGUCAUAAUUGAACCUUUCAUUUUAAAACCAAAAUAUACGUUGGAUCAAGGUGGGGGAGAAAAAAACCCAGCAAGUCCCUACUUUGUUUCUUAAAGGAAUAUAAAAUGAGCAGAAUCUACUCUAGGGCUGUGCUUGUAUGUGAAAAAACAAAACAAUACAAACCCAGAAUAUUUUUCAGGACUCGUUAGAACGGUAAGAGUUUUAAAUUCCCAUUUAAAAUUUUCCUAACAUUUCCAAUGAUCUUCAUGCUCAUAAAAGCUAGAUUUAAAAACUUUUCAGAAGAAAACAAAAUAAUGCCUGAUUCUCUUUUUUACCCAUUGCAAGGCAUUCUUCCCCUCGCCGUCCCUUCCCCCUCUGGUGUUGGUGUAUGUGUGUGUGUGCGUGUGUGUGUGUGUGUGUGUGUGUGUGUGACCAUAGACGACCCAUACUAAUCAGGUCUCAGAGUAAAUAGCAGCGCAGGGCGAUCUCAAUGUAAAUUGCGCUUGUCAGAAGCACACCCCCCCCCCACUUUCUUUCCUCCUCCCCUCGCCAUCCCCGUCAGUAGGUAGCUGAGAGGGAGGGGAAAGAAAAAAAAAAAAGAAAGAAAGAAAAAGAGGAGGGGGGAGGGGCUCUCCAACCAAUGGCGUGCGGGAGGCUUGGCUAACCUUAGCCUCCCAUUUUCUCUCCCCCCGAUUCAGGGCUCUGACCAGUCAGUCGCCUUUGAUUAUCAGUUGCCAGCAGCCCUUCUCUUGGCUCCUUGACACGAGCUCCAUAUAAGGCAGCGAUCUCCAUAGAAACGUGUCAGUUUCAAUAGUAGUGUCAAAGUUCACUAUAUACAGACAUUCGCACAGAUCCCCCUUUCGGAAACACUGCUCUGCGAGUCCUCCCGUUUAAACGCAUUCAAUUUUGGGGUCUCUCUCUCUUCUCUCUCUCUCUCUCUCCUCUCUCUCUCUCUCCUCCGCCUCUCUCUCUCUCUCUCAAUCUCUCUUUCUCUCUCCUCUCUCCCCUUUCUCUUUUCUUACAUAUUCUAUUAGUUGUUUCCCCGUAUUCUUCUUUUUCUCCUUUUUCUCCCUCCUCCUUCUCUCUUUUACUCCAUUCCUGCAGAAGAGUGAGGGCUAAACUUAAAAAAAAGAGAGAGAGAGAGAGAGGAGGAGGAGGCACCCCUUUCGUAUUCUUCUUAUCGUUAUUUUAUACAUAUAUGAUUUUUUUUGGAGGGAGGGUGUUGGUUCCCGGCUGAAGAGCACUUAUUUAAAAUACUAAAAAAAGAACAUUUUUGGGCGAUCUCCAGGGUUUUUUUAACUAGCUCUGUGUGUUAUAGCAGAAGAAGCAGAAGAAGGAGCAAGAAAGAGGAAAAGAAGAGGAUUAUUUAUUCGACCUACUUUGGAUGUCUCUCUCGCUUUUUUUUUUUUUUUUU